rnacentral:rRNA from 1 species
GACAGAGGGUGCAACCGUUGUUCGGAAUUACUGGGCGUAAAGCGUGUGUAGGCGGUCCACUAAGUCGGAUGUGAAAGCCCUGGGCUCAACCCAGGAAGUGCACUCGAAACUGGUGGACUAGAGUAUCGGAGAGGUUGGUGGAAUUCUCGGUGUAGAGGUGAAAUUCGUAGAUAUCGAGAGGAACACCGGUGGCGAAGGCGGCCAACUGGACGAAUACUGACGCUGAGACACGAAAGCGUGGGGAGCAAACAGG